rfam:Triticum aestivum genome assembly, contig: Triticum_aestivum_CS42_TGACv1_scaffold_513400_6BS
GAAAUACUCCAUCCGUCCCAAAAUUCUUGUCUUAGAUUUGUCUAAAUAUGGAUGUAUCAAGUCACGUUUUGGUAUUUGAUACAUCCGUAUCUAGACUCAUCUAAGACAAGAAUUUUGGGAUGGAGGGAGUGUAAA